GAGUUUGAUCCUGGCUCAGGACGAACGCUGGCGGCGUGCUUAACACAUGCAAGUCGAACGGAAAGGCCCCAGCUUGCUGGGGUACUCGAGUGGCGAACGGGUGAGUAACACGUGGGUGAUCUGCCCUGCACUUCGGGAUAAGCCUGGGAAACUGGGUCUAAUACCGGAUAGGACCCUCCUUUAGUGUGGGGGGUGGAAAGAUUUUUCGGUGUGGGAUGAGCCCGCGGCCUAUCAGCUUGUUGGUGGGGUAAUGGCCUACCAAGGCGUCGACGGGUAGCCGGCCUGAGAGGGUGGACGGCCACAUUGGGACUGAGAUACGGCCCAGACUCCUACGGGAGGCAGCAGUGGGGAAUAUUGCACAAUGGGCGGAAGCCUGAUGCAGCGACGCCGCGUGGGGGAUGACGGCCUUCGGGUUGUAAACCUCUUUCGACAGGGACGAAGCCUUGUAGGUGACGGUACCUGUAUAAGAAGCACCGGCUAACUACGUGCCAGCAGCCGCGGUAAUACGUAGGGUGCGAGCGUUGUCCGGAAUUACUGGGCGUAAAGAGCUCGUANGUGGUUUGUCGCGUCGUCUGUGAAAUUCCGGGGCUUAACCUCGGGCGUGCAGGCGAUACGGGCAAUACUUGAGUGCUGUAGGGGAGACUGGAAUUCCUGNUGUAGCGGUGAAAUGCGCAGAUAUCAGGAGGAACACCGAUGGCGAAGGCAGGUCUCUGGGCAGUAACUGACGCUGAGGAGCGAAAGCAUGGGUAGCGAACAGGAUUAGAUACCCUGGUAGUCCAUGCCAUAAACGGUGGGCGCUAGGUGUAGGGGUCUUCCACGACUUCUGUGCCGUAGCUAACGCAUUAAGCGCCCCGCCUGGGGAGUACGGCCGCAAGGCUAAAACUCAAAGGAAUUGACGGGGGCCCGCACAAGCGGCGGAGCAUGUGGAUUAAUUCGAUGCAACGCGAAGAACCUUACCUGGGCUUGACAUACACCGGACCGGGCCAGAGAUGGUCCUUCCCUUGUGGCUGGUGUACAGGUGGUGCAUGGUUGUCGUCAGCUCGUGUCGUGAGAUGUUGGGUUAAGUCCCGCAACGAGCGCAACCCUUGUCUUAUGUUGCCAGCACGUGAUGGUGGGGACUCAUGAGAGACUGCCGGGGUCAACUCGGAGGAAGGUGGGGAUGACGUCAAAUCAUCAUGCCCCUUAUGUCCAGGGCUUCACACAUGCUACAAUGGUCGGUACAACGCGUCGCCACACCGUGAGGUGGAGCUAAUCGCGCAAAGCCGGCCUCAGUUCGGAUUGGGGUCUGCAACUCGACCCCAUGAAGUCGGAGUCGCUAGUAAUCGCAGAUCAGCAACGCUGCGAUGAAUACGUUGCCCGGGCCUUGACACACCGCCCGUCAAGGAAGAUUCGCGCCGCUAAUUCAUCGCCCUAUAGGGUCAUAACUGGCC
rnacentral:rRNA from 1 species